GACGAACGCUGGCGGCGUGCUUAACACAUGCAAGUCGAACGAAGAGCGAUGGAAGCUUGCUUCUAUCAAUCUUAGUGGCGAACGGGUGAGUAACGCGUAAUCAACCUGCCCUUCAGAGGGGGACAACAGUUGGAAACGACUGCUAAUACCGCAUACGAUCUAAUCUCGGCAUCGAGGAUAGAUGAAAGGUGGCCUCUACAUGUAAGCUAUCACUGAAGGAGGGGAUUGCGUCUGAUUAGCUAGUUGGAGGGGUAACGGCCCACCAAGGCGAUGAACAGUAGCCGGUCUGAGAGGAGGGACCGGCAAAAUGGGAACGGGAAAAGGCCCCAGACUCCACGGGGAGCAGCAGUGGGGAAUCUUCCGCAAUGGACGAAAGUCCGACGGGGGAACGCCGGGGGGGUGAUGACAGCCUUCGGGUUGUAAAGCUCUGUUAAUCGGGACGAAAGGCCUUCUUGCGAAUAGUGAGAAGGAUUGACGGUACCGGAAUAGAAAGCCACGGCUAACUACGUG
rnacentral:rRNA from 1 species